rnacentral:rRNA from 1 species
CGCUGUCACUCCUACGGGAGGCAGCAGUGGGGAAUAUUGCACAAUGGGGGAAACCCUGAUGCAGCCAUGCCGCGUGUGUGAAGAAGGCCUUCGGGUUGUAAAGCACUUUCAGUAGGGAGGAAGGUAGUGUAGUUAACACCUGCAUUAUUUGACGUUAGCGACAGAAGAAGCACCGGCUAACUCCGUGCCAGCAGCCGCGGUAAUACGGAGGGUGCGAGCGUUAAUCGGAAUUACUGGGCGUAAAGCGCAUGCAGGUGGUUUGUUAAGUCAGAUGUGAAAGCCCGGGGCUCAACCUCGGAAUAGCAUUUGAAACUGGCAGACUAGAGUACUGUAGAGGGGGUAGAAUUUCAGGUGUAGCGGUGAAAUGCGUAGAGAUCUGAAGGAAUACCAGUGGCGAAGGCGGCCCCCUGGACAGAUACUGACACUCAGAUGCGAAAGCGUGGGGAGCAAACAGGAUUAGAUACCCUGGUAG